UACGUAGGGUGCAAGCGUUGUCCGGAAUCAUUGGGCGUAAAGAGCUCGUAGGCGGUCUGUCACGUCGGCUGUGAAAACCCGGGGCUCAACCCCGGGCCUGCAGUCGAUACGGGCAGACUAGAGUUCGGUAGGGGAGACUGGAAUUCCUGGUGUAGCGGUGAAAUGCGCAGAUAUCAGGAGGAACACCGGUGGCGAAGGCGGGUCUCUGGGCCGAAACUGACGCUGAGGAGCGAAAGCGUGGGGAGCGAACAGG
rnacentral:rRNA from 1 species